AUACGUUUCUUGUUGCACCUGUGGGUGAAGUUGUGCACGUGCAGGUGUUUGAGUCCUGAGGCGAUGUCGCAGGCCAUCCUUUGGAGGGUCAGCGGCUCGGGGACGCCGCCGCCGCCGUCUUCGGGCUUGCUGCUCCUCAGCGGGGGCGGUAUUGUCGCAGGAAGAGCGACCGGACAACUAACCAGCGGACAGAACUCCAUGACCAGCAGGAAAGGCGAGAAGUCGGUACACUGGGCCAGACACUGCAGCAGAGCUGAAUGCUGCAGCACCCUGAGGACCGGAAGUGAUGUCAGUGCGUGGCCGCGAGGGCGUCAGAAGCGUGCGUGAGAAGGCUGAACGCAUACCGGUUCUCAGUCACCUCCCCCAGAAGAACCUGCCGCACGAGACACACGGACACGGAUGCAGGACCGGCGGGACGCGUCGCCAGCGAGGUUGUUGACACGAGGCA